UAGGUGGGAGGCUAUGAAGAUUUCCUUCCGGGGAAGUUGGAGCCAUCAGUGAGAGACCACUCUGGAGAGGCUAGAAUCCUAAUGGUGAUCCUUGAAUCAGGACACUUGACAGUUUCAGGUGGGCAGUUUUUCUGGGGCGGAAGCCUCAUAAAGGGUAACUGAGGCGCGCAAAGGUCCCCUCAGUCUGGACGGAAAUCAGACAACGAGUGUAAAGGCAAAAGGGGGCUUGACUGCAAGACCUACAAGUCGAGCAGGAGCGAAAGCUGGCCUUAGUGAUCCGACGGUACCGCGUGGAAGGGCCGUCGCUCAACGAAUAAAAGUUA
rnacentral:rRNA from 1 species